UGUUUUCAUCUACUAUUUCCAACCAGGUUCAGUAAGAAGAACAAGGAGAAUAUUGAUCCUUACAUAUACAUGCCCUUUGGGAAUGGACCUAGGAACUGCAUUGGCAUGAGAUUUGCACUCAUGAACAUGAAACUUGCUCUCAUACGAGUCCUGCAGAACUUCUCCUUCCACACUUGUAAAGAAACCCAGAUUCCUCUGACAUUAGGCUCAGACGCUAUUCUUCAGCCAGAAAAACCCAUUAUUCUGAAGGCUGUGACAAGGGAUGAGACCAUAAGAGGAGCCUGAUUUUCCCUAUGGACUUCUGCUAUGUUUUUUAGGAAGACUUUAGCUUAUUUUUGAAUAAAACCCAGAUGAAGAUGGGCUUAAAAUACUGUCCUUGAAAAGUUCUUAAGGAUUCAGUACACUCUUUGAGCUUGCUCUGUAUCUGUACAGCGUCUGUCUGUUGUGAGUAAAUGAGUGUCAGCUCUGUAGAUUCAUAUUUUCUGAUUCUAGUAGGACUAUCUCCAUCCAUCCCUAGGUGACACCAUCAGUUCCAUUUGAGCUCAGACCAGAGGACACAUUUCUCAGUAAUUUUAUCCACAAUUUUUAGUGAGAAUGAUAAUUAUAGCUCUGAGUGUAGCAAUAAAAUUUGUAAUAUUAUAUUAUAUUAUUUGAAAAUAUAAAUAAAUAUAUCUA